rnacentral:rRNA from 1 species
GACGAACGCUGGCGGCGUGCUUAACACAUGCAAGUGGAGCGACGAACCAGGCUUCGGCCUGGGGCAGAGCCGCGAACGGGUGAGUAACACGUGGGUAACCUGCCCCGAUGACUGGGACAACCCGGGGAAACCCGGGCUAAUACCGGAUGUGUAGCCGACACAUAAGUGUCAGCUGGAAAGGGAGCUUCGGCCCCCGCAUCGGGAUGGGCCCGCGGCCCAUUAGCUUGUUGGUGAGGUAACGGCUCACCAAGGCUUCGAUGGGUAGCUGGUCUGAGAGGACGAUCAGCCACACUGGGACUGAGACACGGCCCAGACUCCUACGGGAGGCAGCAGUGGGGAAUCUUGCGCAAUGCGCGAAAGCGUGACGCAGCAACGCCGCGUGGGGGAAGAAGGCCUUCGGGUUGUAAACCCCUUUCAGUUGGGACGAAGCUUCCAGAGUUAAUAGCUUUGUGGAGUGACGGUACCUUCACAAGAAGCCCCGGCUAACUACGUGCCAGCCGCCGC